UGAAAAGCAACUUAUCAAAGAAGACAGCAAAAAUAAGAAAUGAACGGAAUCGAAUAGGAAAUUUUUCAGUAAAUUCAGAAUUUUUUGAUAAUUUAGAACAACGUGUCGUCACUUGUAUGGAUUUAGAUUAUGUACAAAGUUUCUAUAACUCCUGAUAAUACACCAGAGGAAGAGAUUUGUGAUCCUGAUUUAAAAAUUCUGAAUGCAUAUCCAGGAGCAUGUCAUGACGCAUAUAUUUGGUCUCUCAAUUCACCAGUACGUUGCAUUAUGGAACGGCGUUUUAGAAACCGAGAACAUAAUACAUGGUUAAUUGGUAAUGAUGGCUUAAAUAGACAGAAUUGGUAUUGGAGAUAAUGAACGACAAUAUGCAUAUCAAAAACGUGCAACCACAACCCGUAUACAGGAAAAUUUUAUUACCCGUCAAUAUGAGAGAAUUUAACUGAUUUAAAAAAACAGAGCUUCUAACGUCGAUUUGAAACAUGCAAAUAAGGAGAUAGAUAUGCGGGAGAUGCUGGUGAGAAGCAGAAAAAGUACGGCUACUCAAUGUGAUAUAUAUGAUUAGUCAUUUGAUACAAUAACGGCAACUAUAAGGCACAGUUUUAAGAUGCAUCCUAAUUUACCGAAUAAAUUCUAUUGUUUCUAUUGUGAAAAGCAAUUUUCUCUAAAGACUCGUACAGAUAGCCAUCAAAUAUCACAUGACACAUCUGAAAGCGAGAAGAAAGAGGAGCAUAGAAAAUGCAAUGUGUUAUUUUAUAAUCAGAAAGCGCUGAAUUAAUGUAGAA